AUGGCUGAUGGUCUAGAGGUUAAGGCAUUAGGCUUGAGACCAGAAGAUCCUCGGUUCAAAUCCCAGCCUGACUGGAAAAUCACUAAGGGCCCUUGGGCAAGGUCUUUAAUCCCGUAUUGCUCCCGGUGUGAAAGUAGUGUGAAUGAAUG